CGCUGUGCUCGUUGAUGAAAGUCAAAGUGGCGUUACGUGAGCUCAGUGUAGCCUACAUUCAGUGGCGCCUGUUAGUUUUCCCCUUGUGUAUUUACAAUGUCACAUAUCAAAGCAUUACAAUCAAACGGAUUAAAAUACAAAGAACAAAAAUACCCCUAUAAAUCUACACAGCGAUUCAUGGUAGGCCAGUUAAUGACUUAAAAGUCAUUGCCAUGUCACAUAAUGGCGGCAAUUAGUAGCGCUCGCUCGCUCAGCUGUUUACGUCGCCUGAAGACUAAUCUCAAGAAUGACUGACAAAAGACUGAAUGGAGACGCGGAGGCUGUUUUGAAAGAGUUUGACACCACAUGCAGUCGCAAAAUGAGCUUCAAAUAGAUCUGUUCAGAUGAAGAAACAAACUACAUCUACAUCUUAGAUAGCCUGAGGUGAGAGUGCAUGUCAGCAGCAGGACACAGAUCCUGGGCUCAGUCCAGAGCUGCUCUACACCGCCAGUCAUUUGUCAAAGGAUCUUUCUGCUCUCUCAGUCCACAGCCCAGACUUUCAGCCAGAAUGAAUGAUGGGAAUCACAGCAGAACUGGACCGCCGCUGAGACGUAUCUCAGCAAGUCUCGUCUGAGCCUGAUGACCCUCCUGUGACAUCAAAGUCAAUUAAGGCAUCUGUUUCAUUUUCAAAACCUGGUGUAUUUGGAUGCUGCAGUCUUGUGAGUGUGCGUUUGUGUUCUGUUGUUCAGAGAGAAUAUGUCAGCAACAGGAGGCUGUUCCUGGCCUUAGUCCAGAGAUGUUCAUGACUACCAGACUGAGGAAGACACCGUUUGUCAAAGGAUCUCAGGGGACAGUCCACUGGUCAAGCAGAACUUUAGCAAAAACACUCUUGCAUUUUACGACUCGAAAAUAAACUAAAAUAAACAUUCAUUCCAGUCAUAGUUACACACAAUAUGGUGUCAAGCUAUAUAGAUGUGUUUGUAUUUGAACAUAAUGGUUAAAGGAACAUUUUAUAACAUAUGGAUAUUGAAACAUGUAUUGAGA
ensembl:lncRNA